rnacentral:rRNA from 1 species
GACGGAGGAUGCAAGUGUUAUCCGGAAUCACUGGGCGUAAAGCGUCUGUAGGUGGUUUAGUAAGUCGAUUGUUAAAGCGUGAGGCUCAACUUCAACACAGCAAUGGAAACUGCUAGACUUGAGUAUGGUAGAGGUAAGAGGAAUUUCCAGUGGAGCGGUGAAAUGCGUAGAUAUUGGAAAGAACACCGAUGGCGAAGGCAUCUUACUGGGCCAUAACUGACACUCAGAGACGAAAGCUAGGGUAGCAAAUGGGAUUAGAUACCCCAGUAGUCCUAGCAGUAAACGAUGGAUACUAGAUGUUGGCCGUUCACCGCAGUGUCAAAGCUAACGCGUUAAGUAUCCCGCCUGGGAAGUAUGCACGCAAGAGUG